GAUGAACGCUGGCGGCGUGCCUAAUACAUGCAAGUCGAGCGAACAGACGAGGAGCUUGCUCCUCUGACGUUAGCGGCGGACGGGUGAGUAACACGUGGAUAACCUACCUAUAAGAAUGGGAUAACUUCGGGAAACCGGAGCUAAUACCGGAUAAUAUAUUGAACCGCAUGGUUCAAUAGUGAAAGACGGUUUUGCUGUCACUUAUAGAUGGAUCCGCGCCGCAUUAGCUAGUUGGUAAGGUAACGGCUUACCAAGGCAACGAUGAGUAGCCGACCUGAGAGGUUGUCCGGCCACACUGGAACUGGGACACGGUCCAGACUCCUACGGGGGGCAGCAGUAGGGACUUUUCCGCAAUGGGCGAAAGCCUGACGGAGCAACGCCGCGUGAGUGAUGAAGGUCUUCGGAUCGUAAAACUCUGUUAUUAGGGAAGAACAAAUGUGUAAGUAACUAUGCACGUCUUGACGGUACCUAAUCAGAAAGCCACGGCUAACUACGUG
rnacentral:rRNA from 1 species